rnacentral:lncRNA from 1 species
CUGAAGGCUAGCUGGUGCAAAAGCUAUGAAUUUCCUUUCCUGUGAUGCAUAUAGUAGGCUAACUUUCUCUUAGUUUCUUUCGUCCGCGCUUUCAUUUGUACAACCGCUACAUGUAUCUCAAUGAAAAAGCUAGCACUUCCUGAAUCUUUCAAAAAGAAGCAACGCAUGAAGUUGUAGUCCCAUGUGAAUUAUAUUUUAUCUUACUCCAAAAUUAGUUCAGAUAUAUGCAUAUGUUACUGGCAGAUUUCUAUAUGAAAUUUAUACAUUCUUUAUUUGCAUUGUUAGAUUUUUCAUGGAGCAGGCAAGCUUAUGAACUUUACAGGUUGACCUUGAUGUAUCCUCUGUUUAUUCUGGCAUACCCUCAUGUAUGGCCUAUAGGCAUGUAAACAGACUUGCAGAUAAUAGUACCAUGAUGAUGGAUACAUGGCAGUGUUUUUGGUUUCUGUCUCCUUAUUAGAUCAAUGUGUUUGAUGUUGUUUCACUGAAACUCAUAUUUGUUCCAUUUGUGACUUGCAGUUACGUAUGGGUUUCACUCCAACAAAAACAAAUUCUGGUUUAUGAUAAGUGAGGUACCUCUCAAAAUAAUGUUAUUAUGGCAGCGGUACGCUCCAGUUUUUUUUUAAUCUUGCUGUUGAAGGGGGAAGAACAGCUACGUACAAUUCAUUGGUUUGUUUAAGCAAGGGACGGAAGGUUGUUCCUGUAUGUAAUACAGUAUGCCAAUCAGCCCUCUAAUCUAUUUAUCAUAUUAUAGGUCAGGCACUCCCUUCUUCCUCCGCUCUGAUGUGGGAUAUUGUUCUUGUAUGUAAUGGUAGUUUUGGGUUGCAGCUCAAGAGGGUCAUAGUAGGCUGAGGCCUUGGCUAAACAGGAGCCGAUGCUUUCAUCCUCUCCUCCAUCGCCGGCAGAGCAAGCUAUCGGAAUAUGCAUAAGAAGGUAACACUCAAAUUGCAUUCUUCCUCACAUCAUCUUUAGUAAAAUAAUCAAAGUUACCAGCGGCAUUCAAUUACUAACUACCUGCCUUCAAAUUUUUCUAGCCAGUGGAUGCUGGAGCUUCGCCAGUACACGCUCACGUUUCAUGUAAUUAUUGUUGGAACCAAGUUGGGUAUGUUCUUAACCUUCUUCUGCAGUGUAUUAGUUGGACGUGAAGGUCUCUGUUGAAUAAAGGCAUAAACCUCAACAGCGAAGUGAGGCAGUUGGCGUACAGAAGGUAGAAUUUAUCACAUAAAGUUUGAGCAAGUAUUUUCGGUGUUUCUUAAUAUAUUUUAAUUUUUUAUUCUUAUAGUAUGUUAGUUCAAUAUAUGUGAAAAGGAGAAGACAUGAAUGUAAGCAAUUUAAAUCCUGGAAGGCCACUCAUGAAUGGAAAAAAAUUUAGGGUAUUGUGAAUUUUCAUGCAUAAGAGAUAGUUUGAUUCUAGGAGUAAAAGGUGUAUGUACAUGGUAUGAUAUAUCUCACUAAUUUAUUCAUCUUUUUUAUCGAAAGGAUUAUAGUGAAUCUGAACCGCCAGUAGUGUUGUAGUCUGGGUUAAACAGUACCUAAAUGUAUCACAUAAAGUAACAUCACACUCAUUUUAGGAGUUGGCCUAGGAAUCCAUGGAAGAUAAUGCUGAGAUUAAGCAAUAGCUUACUUGGGGAAGAAUACAAUGAAGAAGGGUGGUCUAAAUGAGUUUAUCCGACCAUCACUAGCAUGUUAAAUUUUUGACUAUUAAACUGAACAUUACACAUAUGUAACUUGACUGUAACAGACCCUACAGAAAGUUUAUGAACUAACAAUUGUUAGGGAAAGAUUAUGCUUUUCUGUAAUACAUCAGAACCAACAGAAUUAAGAUUUUAGUUUAAUAUCUAGGAACUGUGUAAACAUCUCUUCCGUACUGUUUUAUACAGUUUAAAUGAUUGAUUGCACACACAAAUUGUAAUGUCUUGGCUUACUUAAUGGGAGUAGCAGGGCAUACUCGCUAAUGAUAUGUUGAAGUUUACGGGCAGUAUGUCAAUAUAUGCUUUCUCACCCUCUGUCCCGUACAUGGUAAUAAAGUGACCUUCCCUAUAUUCUUUUUGUUGGUAAUACUCUCCUUGAUGUGUCCUAGAAUUUUAUUUGAAGGAGAGAUUUUUGAGGUGUUAUAUAAUAUGCGCUGUUUGGGUUGGAACAUACUUUACUUUAGGUGUUGCACUUUUCCUCGGUGUUAAAUCACUUUAGGAGACUCUGCUUUGGAUUUGGAUAGUGCAACAGCUGGGUUCUCUGCUUUGUUCUAUUCGCAGCUAACAGUGCACAAUCACUUAGUUGCUCCUGAAAACCACCAUCAGAAUUAACUCUCCUGUUCAUUUCAAGAUCAUGGUUCCGUAAAAAUGGCAUUUAUGUUACGUACACUUAAUUAUGAACUUCACAUAAAUUGGAGGGUGUGUGCUUCCCUUUUAAUAUUCAUAGCUACAUGUUUUCAUGAUAAUGGGCAAUGGAAAUUGAUAUCAUAAGAUUGGUUAUCCUAUAUUUACACUCAUCAAUUUAACAGUAACAUGUUCAGUUGAUUUUUUGCAAAAUUGAGAUAUUUUCUUUUGCCAACUUGACCAG